rnacentral:rRNA from 1 species
AAUCAACGCUGGCGGCGCGCUUAACACAUGCAAGUCGAACGAGAAAGGGAGCAAUCCUGAGUAAAGUGGCGUACGGGUGAGUAACACGUGGAUGAUAUGCCUUUUAGUGGGGAAUAACUUUGGGAAACCGAAGCUAAUACCGCAUAAUCCCGAGAGGGGAAAGCAGCAAUGCGCUGAAAGAGUAGUCCGCGGCUGAUUAGCUAGUUGGUAGGGUAAUGGCCUACCAAGGCUGUGAUCGGUAGCCGGCCUGAGAGGGCAGACGGCCACACUGGCACUGAAACACGGGCCAGACUCCUACGGGAGGCAGCAGUGGGGAAUCUUGCACAAUGGACGAAAGUCUGAUGCAGCGACGCCGCGUGAGCGAUGAAGCCCUUCGGGGUGUAAAGCUCUUUCGACAGGAACGAUAAUGACGGUACCUGGAGAAGAAGCUGCGGCUAACUACGUGCCAGCCGCCGCAGUAA